UCAAUCCUGCCUUGCACGUUACGGCGACACAUGUUUUGAACCAAUGCUGUUUCCUAGGGAGCUCAACAUCGCCCUGCGGAUGACACGCCCCCGAAAGGGGUAGUCAGCAUGCAGCGCUGCGGGCACCCACCUGCGAGAGCGGGUUCAGAAACAAGCGCGUCGGACGGCAAAGGCGGGUUUUCC
rnacentral:other from 2 species